UUCUAUUAGAAAUUAUUAAUAGUAAAAUCUGCUCAAUGAAAUAUUUUAUAGCCGCAAUUUUCUUGUGCUAAGGUAGCGUAAUCAUUUGUCUUUUAAUUAAAGACUAGUAUGAAAGAUUAUACAUUUAAAUUUUUCUUUAAAAAAUAUUCUUUAAAUUUAUUCUAAACAUAAAAAUAUGUUUAUUCUAAAAAUAGACGAUAAGACCCUUUUGAACUUUACUUAAGUUAAACUGGGGUAGUUAAUUAAUUAAAAUUUUAAUUUUAAUAAAUAAAACAAUGAUCUUAUUUAAUAAAUUUCAUGACCAAGUUACCAUAGGGAUAACAGCGUAAUAGUUUUUUUAAGAUCUUAUAUAAAAACCUGAUUGCGACCUCGAUGUUGAAUAAUAACCUCUUAUGCGCAAUAGUAUAAAAAGGAAGUCUGUUCGACUUUUAAAAAAUUACA
rnacentral:rRNA from 1 species